rnacentral:rRNA from 1 species
UACGUAGGCAGCAAGCGUUGUUCGGAGUUACUGGGCGUAAAGGGUGUGUAGGCGGUUCCUUAAGUUUGCUGUGAAAUCUCCCGGCUUAACCGGGAGGGUGCGGUGAAUACUGAGGGACUAGAGUACGGGAGAGGAAAGUGGAAUUCCUGGUGUAGCGGUGAAAUGCGCAGAUAUCAGGAAGAACACCUAUGGCGAAGGCAGCUCUCUGGGACGGUACUGACGCUGAGACGCGAAAGCGUGGGGGAGCGAACAGG